rnacentral:misc_RNA from 1 species
AUUUUCUGAACCUCUCGCCUUGUUCUAGUCUUGAAGUAGCAACAUGGGUACGAGAUUCAAACUUUCUACAGCCGUUCUCUUCAUUUGCUUCCUUAUGUUUCCAAUGGUUUUUUCUGCAUCCAAUGAUGGGAAGGUUAGAAUCGGACUUAAAAGGAGGAAAUUUGGCCUGAACAACCGGGUUGCUAGCAAGAUUGCAACCAAGGAAGGAGUUUCUUUGAAAGAUUUUGUUGGUAAAUAUAAACCUAGCACGAAUUUGGGAGGUUCGGAUGAUAUUGAUAUUGUUGGAUUGAAGAAUUACUUGAAUGCUCAGUAUUUUGGUGAGAUUG